CUGGCCCUACGGGACGCAGCAGUGGGGAAUAUUGCACAAUGGGGGAAACCCUGAUGCAGCGACGCCGCGUGAGUGAAGAAGUAUUUCGGUAUGUAAAGCUCUAUCAGCAGGGAAGAAGAAGGACGGUACCUGAGUAAGAAGCCCCGGCUAACUACGUGCCAGCAGCCGCGGUAAUACGUAGGGGGCAAGCGUUAUCCGGAUUUACUGGGUGUAAAGGGAGCGUAGACGGCGACGCAAGUCUGGAGUGAAAGCCCGGGGCCCAACCCCGGGACUGCCCUGGAAACUGCGUCGCUGGAGUACGGGAG
rnacentral:rRNA from 1 species